rnacentral:lncRNA from 1 species
UGCCUCUCUCUCUCUCUGUGUGACUAUCAUAAAUAAAUAAAAAUUAAAAAAAAAAAAAAAACAGAAGGCUAUUUUUUUUUUUUCAGGUAGCGUGAUGCUACUGCAAUUUCAGGGGUAGCAUAUAACCCACUGCUGUCCUGGAGAGCCACGUUAAAGACAAUCUCUUACCGUAUGGUUCCAUGGCAAAGGCUUUUGAAAUAAUAAUAAUAUUAUUAUUAAAUUAAUUUUAAUUAUUCAUUAAGUUAAUAAUUAAUUAAAUUAUUAAUUUUAAUGAUGAUUAAAUUAUUAAAAUAUAUAAUAUAUUUUGUGAUAUAUUAGUAAAUAAUAUUUUGAAUAAAUAGUAAAUAGUAGUAGUGAUAAUAAUAACAAUGACAACAAUAAUAAAAAUAAUGUGCUCCUCUUUGGACAGUGCCUCACAUGGUUCUAAACAUUAUCUGAUGAUGUAAGAAAAAAACUGGGAGGAAAAAAAAUAAAAAAACAGAAACUAAGGAUGUUGUUUACUCAUAAUGUUUAAUCGCUCUAAUUAAAAUACUGUCUCAAUUCAACUCCCCUAUGCUAUGGUCAGUAAUCGUCCCCCUUCCAGGCACUACACAUCCCAACUAUUUUGACUCAUUCAGUAAUCCUACCAGUGAUGGAAACCGUAGGUUUUGUAGGUUAUGAGAGAGACCCUUCCCUCUUUCCUCUCAGCACCCUACAUAAAAUAAGCAUAUCUCUUCAAGGACACAGGCAAGGUAGACCUGCACACACACAGCAAAAUCAUUGUCUCUCUGCUCCUCUCAACUCCCCUCUUGCUAGACCCCCCACCAUCGUCUAGAAAAGCAGAGAGGAUGCUCUUAUUGCAGUUUCAGCCUGACUGAACGUUUGUUUCCCAGGAUCCUUUCUGUAGAGUUCUACUAACAGUUUCGGCUAGAUCCAGGGAUCAAAACAUUACUUAUUUGAAAAGUGAUUAAGAACUCUACCCCCCCCCCCCACCCCCUCCCCGGCUCAGCCACUGGAUAUGCUAUCAGAUGUCUGACAAUAGCAGCGCUAAUAUUUAGGGAAAUCUGAGGUAGCCCAAUGACCGAAGCUCCACUGGAUGGCCACAAUCCUCGUAAUUAAAAAUAAAGAAGAGAAAAAGAGAGAGGAGGGAGAAACAGGAGGGAGUGAGAAAGUGAGAUAGGAAAAAGAAUGGUAAAGAAGGAUCAUUAUUCUUAGGCAGUUAGGAAUAUACACAAAUAUACCAAGGUAUUUCCAUUUAAAUAGUUGGGUGAAAAAAAAAUAGUUGGGUGAUGGUGCAUCCAGGUUUGCCUGGGAUGAUCCCGGAAUGCUUAAUGAUGGCCCUGCCUUUCAGUCUCUGAUUUGGACGGUAAUCUAGAUGAGCAUCCUUUACAUAUCAGAACCCCCGCAGUGACAGGAAUCCAUCUGAAAAGACUUCCCAUUCUCUCUCCUGGCCGACUGUUCUGCAUCAUUCUAGGAUUUGUAGAUUCCCGCAAGAAUGCUACAUGUGGGUGAUGUCAUCAGUACAACACUCGGCUACUUUUUUUUUCCAGUGACACUGAGCCCUGUACUCUGCCAGGAUGAAAGGAAAAGUUAUUCUUUUUUUUUUUAAUAAUUAUUUUUUAUUGGUGUUCAAUUCGCCAACAUACAGAAUAACACCCAGCGUUUCUUUCUUUCCGCCUUUUGGCAAGUUUGAAUUUAGCUGCAUAUGGAAGAAGGGAAAUCCCGAGGCAGGAUGAGCCGGAGGCACAAGGUCACGUGAGGUCAUGUGAGGCAACCGCAGCAGAGCCAAGAGGAGAGGGGGCCUCUAUGCGGGUCCUGUGCUCAUGGGUGAGCCGGGCCUGGUCAGUGGAAGCUCCUGGGGCUGACGAGCCAGCUGCCUUAUCCCGAGCUAACUAUUUUCGUGGCAAAAUUUUGCCCAAGCAUUCCCAGUGUGGGUUCCUCAACAAGCCUCGUUGAGCAAGGUCACCUUUGAAUCUGUCAGCUACCUAACGUUCUUCCAAUAAAUGUGUUUUAUGCUUCAUUUAAUGAGUUAAUUUUGGUUAUUUUUAGUGAGAAACUAGAAUUAGGACAAGUGCGGAAUUGGUGAUUUUUUUUUUUUUUCCCAAGGACAUGAGUGUUUCGCUGGGUUUUAUAUCUAAAGAGUUUUUGACAGCAUCCCGCUCCCUCUUUUGCUUCUCGUCAUCCCCCUUCCUAAUUUUCCAUAGCGAAAGGUGCUCAGCCUCUGGAGCUACACUUAGGUUUGAAUUCUGACAGUAUGACCUGGGCCAACCAUUUAUCCUUUCUUAGUUUCUGGGUUUUUGAAUUUUUAUCUAUAAAUAACAAAAUUGUAAUUCAUUUAGUCCCUGCUGUAUACCAGAUGUUAAACACAUUAUAGAAAUCAUAUGUAGUUACUGCUGAAAUGCUGUAAGAUGGGUAUGUGUGAACAGGAUUAUUGUGAGGAUUAAAUAAUAUAAUGGAAUUCUCUACUUCAGUGUCUGGCACAUAAUCAGAGCUAUUGUUAUUUUGUCAUUAUUGAUACCUUACAGAAGGCUCGUCCUCCUUUCCAAAGCUAAUACGUGGCCUUGUGCUUUUCAGGUAGAACCCGAGGGAUGCCAAAGGAAUAGUGCUGAGUGUAGGCGCUUUAGGAGAUCCCAUGAAAAAUAAGCCAGGAAGUUGAUCAUGACGUUUAGCAUCUGUAUAUAACCUAUGAGUGGAUAAUCUAGCUUAUUCUAUGCAGAAAUAACGUUCUCUGGUAUAUAGAUUUCAAACUAGAUGAUCAUAAUUAUCACCUGAAGAUUUAGAAAAUACAACAUCCGGGGCUUCACUUGGCAUCUAUGGGUAGGGUUCAGUAAUCUAGCUUUUCUAAGAGCUCCCAGACGCCUCUCACUGUCCCAGGAUGAAAAACAUCGUGUUUGGUUGCAACGAACUUGUUCCAAAAGGACACUUGGAUGUCACACUUAUAUAUUUCUCAUUGAGAAAUGAGACCCUGUUCUUCUUUCUUUGGUUCUCUUGCCCGUCACCCAGCUAAUUAUAUUCUUAUUGGAUUAUAUGAUAUAUCUCAGUUACCCUUUGGGAUUAAAAUCAUUUUAUUUAAAAAAUUUGUGUAAAUACUGAAUGUUUAUAUGUAAGUGAUGAACCACUAAAUUCUACUCCAGAAACCAAUAUUACACUAUAUGUUAACUAACUGCAAUUAAAAUAAAAACUUGAAAAAUUAAAAAAAAAUUGUGCAGGUAUUCUGAAGUCAUUAUUUACAAAUAUGCAAUUACAUUUUAUCAUUGUUUAGAAUUUUUAUAAGGUGAUUAUGAUUCCAUCAGAAUCAAUUCCAUAAUUUUUUAAUAUUUUAUAUAAAUUCUAUAAUUAUGUGGUUGAGUCAUUUAAUAAUUUGAUAAAUCAUCUGAAUGUCUUUUCAUUAAUCUUAUCUAAAUCAUAUUUACUUUUUCUUUUUUUUUUAGGUUUUAUUUAUUUAUUUAUUUAUUUAAGAGAGAGAGUAUGCACACGUGCACUCAGGUGAGCAGGGGAGGACUCAGUCCCGCCACACUGAGAUCAUGACCCCAGCCGAAAUCAAGAGUCAGACACUCAACAGACUAAGCUACCCAAGCAUCCUUAAAUCAUAUUUUCAAACUAUAUUUUCAAAUCCUAAGAAUACAUCAAUUCAUUUAGUUAACUUUUCCAUUUCUGAACACUUACUCUGUGUUAGGUCCAGGGCUAAAACUUUCAAAAAAAAAAAAAAAAA